CGAGCACGCGCGUGUGGCAUAUCAAUAAGCGGAGGAAAAGAAACUAACAAGGAUUCCCUUAGUAACGGCGAGUGAAGCGGGAAGAGCUCAAAUUUGAAAUCUUCAAGGUUCUACCUUGACGAAUUGUAGUUUAUAGAAGUGUUUUCUGUUAGUAGAGUGGCAAAAGUUCUUUGGAAUAGGACAUCAUAGAGGGUGAGAAUCCCGUAUUUGGUCAUUCCUCCUAGCGUUGUGAUACACUUUCAACGAGUCGGAUUGUUUGGGAAUGCAGUCCAAAAUGGGUGGUAAAUUUCAUCUAAAGCUAAAUAUUGGCGAGAGACCGAUAGCGAACAAGUACCGUGAGGGAAAGAUGAAAAGAACUUUGAAAAGAGAGUUAAACAGUACGUGAAAUUGUCAAAAGGGAAGCGUUUGACACCAGUGUUGUUUUUCCGAAAAUCAAUUACGAAUGUUUUGUUUUUAAGAGUUAUGACUUCAUCGGCUUGCUUCUUUCUUUACGAAACUUUCUUAAUGCACUUUUCGGUUAACAAGUCAACAUCAAUUUCUUUUGCUGUAAAAGGGUAUGAGGAAGGUGGCUUUAUUUUCGGCUGAAAGUGUUUAUAGCCUUGUAGCCUCUGCAAUCGGAGAGAUUGAGGUCUGCAGCGUAGAUCCUUCGGGGUUAGAUACAGUUUGUGCUAAGUUAUAGCUUUUCAUAGACAACAUGUUGACUAUGUUAGUCAUGUAGCUUACUCGCUGACUGCUAUUUUACCUACGCUUAGGAUGUUGAUGUGAUACUGCGAGC
rnacentral:rRNA from 1 species